UUGCUGGGUUGUACAGAUCAGGGUGAAGGGUAAAAGAGAUCUGAAAAUUCCCUGGCUAGCUGAACUGAUUCACAUUGGCUAAGACAAACUGUUAACUGUUACCUAAAGAAGAGAACAAACGAGAGAAGAGAAAACGCAAAGAGCCUGCAUGGCUUGGGUUUGAGGAAAAGUUUGGACAACUUUUGAGAGAGAGGAAGAGUGAUUUUGAACCACACAGCUGGACUGGGUGAGUGUAGUUUAUGGAAAAUAGAUGAGAGAAGAGGAUUCCUAGUAAGUUUUGGGAUGUGGAUGCAAUGUGAACAUAAAAGAUUGCCUUCUUAUGGAAACUGCAGCUAAGUACAGAGCUGCAAUGUAUCCAGGAGUCCUCACACUUCUUUGCAGCUGGGGGUGCCCAUAUGAGCUAAGACAAGCCAAUGAAAUGUAAGUGGAAGUCUGUGAGGAGGGGUCCUGGGAAAGUGGCUGUUUUCCUGUUAAAAGGAGCUGGCCAAGCCAGCAAUCAUUUAUGUCUUUUGCUCGUUGCCCUUCCUCCUCCUUUUGCCAGUUUAUGCUUAAGGUGGAAUAGCCAUUUUCUGACCAUGGAGAAACAAUGUACACACUAAGGUUGACUGAAAGGGGAGCUAAAAGGAUCCUAGACUUUUCAUUAUGUGAAAUAACCGGUUGUGCCUACCUGUGCUCUUUUUAUUAAGUGAGUAAAACAACUCCCUAUUUAGCAAAAUCAUUAUAGUUGAGUUUCUAUUACUCAUUGAGGCCAAAUUGCAAACCUAACCUAAUAGGUGUUUCUCUUGAAAGGAAACCUUCCCAAGGUAAUCUGGAAAAUAGGCUGGAGUUAGACUGAAGUCUCCAUUAAUGUGGGAGGAAAAUAACUAUCAAGUAUCAAAGUUCUAACUACAUGGUCUGGAGUUACUUGAGAUAUUUUCCAUUUCUUUUGAGCCCCAAACUGCAUAUAUCAGGUUUUGUAAGCUUAUGAUAGUUCUUUUAGUUUUUAUAGUGUAGCAUUUCACAUUUAAAAAUGUAUUUAUUGUGAUUGUGACCAAACAACAGAAAUGUGUAAAGUAAAAAAAAAAAAAAAAUCUGCUUCCUACCUCUGCUGCUUCAAGUACUACUCCCCAGGAGUCACUAUUAAUAGUUUUGGUGUCUGUUCUUCCAGGCAUUUUCAAUGCAUGAAUAAUCAUCGGUAACUUUCAUAAAAGUUAAGAAAUUAGACAUUACUUGUUGCUGUAAAUAUCCCAAUUAUUUGAUAUCAGUGAACCUCAGCUUAACACUUUGAUAUUUUUCUAAAGCAUUCCAACCUUUCAUGAGGCUUGUACCUUGAGUUUCUGGGAGAGUCUCUAUGUACAAGUCAAACGCCAUAGGAGAAUCAAACAACUGUCUCUGGGGGGAAAUACAUUCUGAAGAAUAGCUAGAGCUCUUCAUGUUUACCUUUUAUCUCUUUUAGUUUUGGAUUGCAUGCAAGUCUGAAAAAAUGUUCACUUGGGCUGGGAGUGCCUGGCCUGACCCACUCCUGUUUUCAAGUACUGCCAGCUGUGGGCAGUGGCUGGGCUAAUUAUAAAUCACAGGGUCAAAGAGGAAGUUAGUCUCUCACUGAAACUGUACUAGAACAAAACCAGAUUUUUCUUAAAAUCAACAAAGGAAAAGGAUUCUAAUACACUUUAAUUUCUGUUAGUUUUAUAUUCUAUGGGUGCUUAGUUUUAUAUUCAAUGGGUGCUAUUUUGUGGACUUAAUAGCUAGUAGUGUCAUAAUAUAAAUAGCUUUUAUAAUAUUUGUUAAAAUCUGAACAACUUGUGCGCAUUCCACUGCAAACUCCUCUUCGGUCAAAGGCCAUGCCUCACAUAUUUUGUGUCCAGUCAGAUCAAACUACAGUGACAAGCCUCACCAUCACAGACAGCUUCCAAUUAGAUUUAUAGCAGCCCAUGCUUAAAUAUAAGCAGAUAGCCAAGAAUUACCAUAUAUUGGAGGAAAGUUUCUAAAAAGAAAGAGACAAAAACAAAAAAAGAAAAAUACAGAAAAAACACGGAGAAAAAGUCUUAUUUAGGAAAAGAAGAAGAAAAAGAAACCAUCAUUAAUAGCCUCAAUGAGAUAAGAGAUUAAAGAUACUAUGAAAAAGAAACAUCCAGAGAACAAAGAGAGCACAAGGAAAUAUAAAGUAUGAUAGCAUAAUGAAAGAGUAGAAGGGUUGAAAGGAAAACUUGAGGAAAUUUCUCUUUUAGCAAGUCAAAUGACAAAAAAGAAAGGAAAAUAAAAGAAAAAAGAAAAUUAGAGGACUGUUUUAGAAGGUCCAACAUCUGCGUAAAAGGAAUCCAAGACAGAAUAGAGAAAAUCAAAUGGACAAAAUUAAAUAAUCCAAGACAAAGUAUCAGAACUUUGGAAGGACAUAUACUUCCAUAGACAGAGAACCCAUUCAGUGCCCCACACGAUGGAUACAAUGGGAACAUCAUUGUAAAAUGUAAAAAUUCUGGAGGCAAGUAAGAGAUCCUACAAAUUUCCCAGCAUGGAAAAAAAAA
rnacentral:lncRNA from 1 species